CGCACCGGGGCGGGACCCGCCACACUGCCGUAAAAGGAGAGGGACCGCGCUGUCGUAAAAGGAGAAAUGCCACACUGCCGGAAAGCACGGAGCGGCGGGAGGGCGCAAUGGCGGGAGUUGUGUUGAGGCGGGCCGGCGCGGCGGCCGGGGUAGGGCGUCCCUCAAGCAGGGUGUCUGCAGCGUGUUUGCUGACUCAUGGGCUGCAGUGGAAGGUGUGUCAGGCUGAGUGCAAGUAGGUCCCACAGAGAGGACCAGAUCCAAGGAGACUUUAAAUAAAGUCUGGAGCUGCUCUGUUUCUACUCAGCUCCAGCCACAUGGACAGAAUGAAGGGCUGCUCUGAACAUUCUUUAAGUGUGCAUGACUUCCUGGCUGACAGGAGGAGAAGAUCCCAAUGCUCGCCAUGUCCAGGGCUCCCCAGCAGCACAGACCUGUGUGACCCUCUGUCAUGGACAGCCUGCUGGCAAUGCUGAAGAUCCAAAAGGCACAAGAUGCUGAAAGCUUUGGUAUUUGAAAGCUGACUGAAGGAUCCCCAUCCAUCUCCAGGACACCUCACUUGGAAAUCCUGGAGGCUUCCUGCUUUGAACCAGAAGUCUGUGAACCUGGCUACUUACAAAUGGUGCAUUUCAAGCUUGUAUUGAUUUGGGUGACAGACCUCACUGAGCCUGGAGCAGAGCUCCCAGUUGGCCGUAUCUGUGAUCUGAAGGUGUCCUGGCUGCCCACCAGAGGAGCUGCCAUCCAUUCCAUGGUGUGGUUUCCCACUGGAAACAACUGGGAUGCAGCUUUGAGAAGGCAGAGGCACACCCUGCUUUGCUCAGUGAAAAGCAGCCCUCGGUCGUCAC